rnacentral:rRNA from 1 species
GACGAACGCUGGCGGCGUGCCUAACACAUGCAAGUCGAACGGGGUAAGGACUUCGGUUUUUACUUAGUGGCGAACGGGUGAGUAACGCGUGAGAAACCUGCCUUUCAGUGGGGGACAACAGUUGGAAACGACUGCUAAUACCGCAUAAUGUACACGGACCGCAUGAUCUGUGUACCAAAGCUUUAUGUGCUGAAAGAUGGUCUCGCGUCUGAUUAGCUAGAUGGCGGGGUAACGGCCCACCAUGGCGACGAUCAGUAGCCGGUCUGAGAGGAUGAACGGCCACAUUGGGACUGAGAUACGGCCCAG